rnacentral:tRNA from 1 species
CGGUUGUAGCUUAUUGGCCUGGCAGAGCGCUACGUUCGGGACGUAGAGGUCGGAGAUUCGAAUCCUCCCAGACCAA